GGGUGGGGAGGUGGCAGUGGAAACAAAUGAGUGGCCAAUCAGGCUUUCCAGGAACGUCUCAUCAUGACACACUGCUCUCUGCCAACUGCCGGAGCUGAGCGGAAUAAAGAUGAGUGUAAACAGAAAAGGAAAAGUCCUGUUGUCAAGACCUCCAAGGACAAGAACCAGUGAAGCCUGGUAACAAACACAUUAUGCUUUGAAGAUCUGCCAGUUAACAGCUGUGUGGUCUCUCUCCGAUUAACAUCUCUCAGCCCUAUUUUCACCUUUAUGAGAUGGGGAUUAUAAUACCACAUCCCUUGUAGGGCCAUUGUGAGGAUUGAAUGAGCUAAUGCAGGCCCACGUGCCCACCUCAUGGUAAGAACUUCAGAGACAUUAGCCAUUACUAUUCCAACUGAUCACACACACUCAGUGCCACCAAGGAUGAUGCCACUGCAGUGUCUCCCUAUCUCCCUACCUUAGGUUUCACGUUUUGGCGAGCAAAUGCAGCAGGAAUAAAUUUUCAGUGGCCUGGGAGCCACAGCUAUACCCUUUUGCCAUAAGAAACUCCCAAACUCUCUCUCUCUCUUUC
rnacentral:lncRNA from 1 species